rnacentral:lncRNA from 1 species
GGAGCCCAGCUCCCAAAAUCCACUCAGCAGCCACACCAGUGGGGAUUGUCAGACAUCGCACCUCAGGGAGGGAGGGACGUGGUGCUGAGGGGCGCUGAGGGGAACCCUACGGCUCCCGAACCGGGGCGUGACGGGAGAGGGGCGCUGAGGGGAACCGGUGCCCGGGGUCCCACUGCUCAGGGCGAGGGUUUUUUGAGGUGCCCUCCAGCCGAGGAAGGAGGGGGGCGACCGAAACCAAACACAGCUAGCCCCGCGACCCCCGCGGGCUCGCCCUGCGCCACAGCCGGAUCCCGGCGUGUGCCGGGGCCGGGGCCGGUCGGAGCGGCGCUCCCGCUCCCACUUCGCCUUGGCAGGGCACCGCCAUCAGACGGAGUGGGAGGAAGGAACAUUAACUCCAGCAGCUGUUUCUUGACCCCGGCUGUCAGCCUGCCCGAGAACACAUCAUCUGUGACCAGAAAGCACGCAGGCAUACCUGCACCACUGUCCUCAUCUGUGCCGAGAAGCCCUAAGAGAUGGAAAGCUUUGGCUGGCAAAGUGCUGAUCAUUAGUGCAGCUUGUGCUCAGGAAGUGCUCAAAGGACACGUGUACCUUUCACUGAAUGAUUAUGUUCUGGAGAAUAGGAGUGGGAGUUCCUGUAAUAGUUUGUCCAGUGUAUGCUUCUGUCUGUGCCAGCUUUGGGGGGCAGAUGAGACAGCAGUGACAGUGUCUCAGCACAAGCUUCUAGGUCUGAACUACAGAGGAAAGGAUGCUGGUAGUGGCUGUGCAAUCCUCUAUCUGAAAGUCCUGAGGCAGGAUUUGGAGUAUGUUUCAGUUGAUACCUCUGCAGGAUCUGUUAAGAAUGCAGCGUUUACUGAUACAAACCUCACUGGAUGA